UACGUAGGGUGCAAGCGUUGUCCGGAAUUAUUGGGCGUAAAGAGCUCGUAGGCGGUUUGUCGCGUCUGCUGUGAAAACUCGGAGCUUAACCCCGGGCCUGCAGUGGGUACGGGCAGACUAGAGUGCGGUAGGGGAGACUGGGAUUCCUGGUGUAGCGGUGAAAUGCGCAGAUAUCAGGAGGAACACCGGUGGCGAAGGCGGGUCUCUGGGCCGUAACUGACGCUGAGGAGCGAAAGCGUGGGGAGCGAACAGG
rnacentral:rRNA from 1 species